GUGUGUUCCAGGUAAAUCCGGUUCACUUUAACACUGAGGCGUGACGACGAGGCACUACGGUGCUGAAGCAACAAAUGCCCUGCUUCCAGGAAAAGCCUCUAAGCAUCAGGUAACAUCAAAUCGUACCCCAAACCGACACAGGUGGUCAGGUAGAGAAUACCAAGGCGCUUGAGAGAACUCGGGUGAAGGAACUAGGCAAAAUGGUGCCGUAACUUCGGGAGAAGGCACGCUGACACGUAGGUGAAGUGAUUUACUCAUGGAGCUGAAGUCAGUCGAAGAUACCAGCUGGCUGCAACUGUUUAUUAAAAACACAGCACUGUGCAAACACGAAAGUGGACGUAUACGGUGUGACGCCUGCCCGGUGCCGGAAGGUUAAUUGAUGGGGUCAGCGCAAGCGAAGCUCCUGAUCGAAGCCCCGGUAAACGGCGGCCGUAACUAUAACGGUCCUAAGGUAGCGAAAUUCCUUGUCGGGUAAGUUCCGACCUGCACGAAUGGCGUAAUGAUGGCCAGGCUGUCUCCACCCGAGACUCAGUGAAAUUGAACUCGCUGUGAAGAUGCAGUGUACCCGCGGCAAGACGGAAAGACCCCGUGAACCUUUACUAUAGCUUGACACUGAACAUUGAGCCUUGAUGUGUAGGAUAGGUGGGAGGCUUUGAAGUGUGGACGCCAGUCUGCAUGGAGCCGACCUUGAAAUACCACCCUUUAAUGUUUGAUGUUCUAACGUGGACCCGUUACCCGGGUUGCGGACAGUGUCUGGUGGGUAGUUUGACUGGGGCGGUCUCCUCCUAAAGAGUAACGGAGGAGCACGAAGGUUGGCUAAUCCUGGUCGGACAUCAGGAGGUUAGUGCAAUGGCAUAAGCCAGCUUGACUGCGAGCGUGACGGCGCGAGCAGGUGCGAAAGCAGGUCAUAGUGAUCCGGUGGUUCUGAAUGGAAGGGCCAUCGCUCAACGGAUAAAAGGUACUCCGGGGAUAACAGGCUGAUACCGCCCAAGAGUUCAUAUCGACGGCGGUGUUUGGCACCUCGAUGUCGGCUCAUCACAUCCUGGGGCUGAAGUAGGUCCCAAGGGUAUGGCUGUUCGCCAUUUAAAGUGGUACGCGAGCUGGGUUUAGAACGUCGUGAGACAGUUCGGUCCCUAUCUGCCGUGGGCGCUGGAGAACUGAGGGGGGCUGCUCCUAGUACGAGAGGACCGGAGUGGACGCAUCACUGGUGUUCGGGUUGUCAUGCCAAUGGCACUGCCCGGUAGCUAAAUGCGGAAGAGAUAAGUGCUGAAAGCAUCUAAGCACGAAACUUGCCCCGAGAUGAGUUCUCCCUGAGACUUAGAGU
rnacentral:rRNA from 1 species